rnacentral:rRNA from 1 species
UACGUAGGUGGCUAGCGUUGUCCGGAUUUACUGGGCGUAAAGGGCUCGUAGGCGGCCAACUAAGUCGGACGUGAAAUCCCCAGGCUCAACCUGGGAACUGCGUCCGAUACUGGAUGGCUUGAAUCCGGGAGAGGGAUGCAGAAUUCCAGGUGUAGCGGUGAAAUGCGUAGAUAUCUGGAGGAAUACCGGUGGCGAAGGCGGCAUCCUGGACCGGCAUUGACGCUGAGGAGCGAAAGCCAGGGGAGCAAACGGG